rnacentral:rRNA from 1 species
AACGAACGCUGGCGGCAUGCCUAACACAUGCAAGUCGAACGGGAUCCUAGCUUGCUAGGUGAGAGUGGCGGACGGGUGAGUAACACGUGGGAAUCUGCCUUUUGGUUCGGGAUAACCGCGGGAAACUGCGGCUAAUACCGAAUGCCCUCGAGAGAGGAAAGAUUUAUCGCCAGAAGAGGAGCCCGCGUCCGAUUAGGUAGUUGGUGGGGUAAAGGCCUACCAAGCCGACGAUCGGUAGCUGGUCUGAGAGGAUGAUCAGCCACACUGGGACUGAGAUACGGCCCAGACUCCUACGGGAGGCAGCAGUGGGGAAUAUUGGACAAUGGGGGCAACCCUGAUCCAGCAAUGCCGCGUGAGUGAUGAAGGCCUUAGGGUUGUAAAGCACUUUUGUCCGGGAAGAUAAUGACUGUACCGGAAGAAUAAGCCCCGGCUAACUUCGUGCCAGCAGCCGCGGUAAU